AAUCCUAUUAGAUAUAUGUCUUUUCUUGAUACUAAUCAGCCUCCGUUCGUCUUUUCUUUAUAUUAAAUCAUUCUAUUUUUCAACAAGAUGUACAAUUUCGUUUCAGACAAAAGUGAACGUAUGCGUGUAUAUAUAUAUAUGUAUGUACAGAGAAAGAAAUGAAUGUACGAUGUAGAGAGAGAAAGAAAUAGUGUGACAGAAAAAAGAAGAAAAAAGUUAGAUCAUCUUCGAUACAUUCUUCGAAAUAGGUUAAGAAAUGAACAACUUACCUGAUACCACGAAGGGAAGGUAGGAAAAAGCGUAGUCUUAGAUACAGCAUGAAACUGGUUGGAAGGCCCAAGGAACCCUUACUAUUUUUGCCACCGUUUAACCAACCCGGCGGAGCAACCUUGUUCAAUUUUGUUUCGGGCGGCAAAAUGGCAAAGUCACCGGCCAAUAACACGGCCAAUCCUAACGUGAAAUUCUCCUCGAGAUUUUCCGCUUGGACUAUUGCCUG